CAGUAGCCGCGGUAAUACGAAGGGGGCUAGCGUUGUUCGGAAUUACUGGGCGUAAAGCGCGCGCAGGCGGCUUUCCAAGUCAGUGGUGAAAGCCCGGAGCUCAACUCCGGAACUGCCAUUGAAGCUGGUCGGCUAGAGUACGAGAGAGGUGAGUGGAAUUCCCAGUGUAGAGGUGAAAUUCGUAGAUAUUGGGAAGAACACCGGUGGCGAAGGCGGCUCACCGGCUUGUUACUGACGCUCAGGCGCGACAGCGUGGGGAUCAAACAGGAUUAGAUACCCCUGUAGUCCCUGUCUCUUAUAC
rnacentral:rRNA from 1 species